GCGCAGCAGUCGCGAAACCUCCGCAAUACACGAAAGUGUGACGGGGCCAUCCCGAGCGCCGUCCGCUGAGGACGGCUUUUCCCCAGUGUACAUAGCUGGGGAAUAAGGAGAGGGCAAGCCUGGUGUCAGCCGCCGCGGUAAUACCAGCUCUCCGAGUGGUGGGGACGCUUAUUGGGCCUAAAGCAUCCGUAGCCGGCUAGGCAAGUCCUCCGUUAAAUCCAACGAUUCAAUCGUUGGGCUGCGGGGGAUACUGUCCAGCUUGGGGGCGGGAGAGGCCGACGGUAUUCCCGGGGUAGGGGUGAAAUCCUAUAAUCCCGGGAGGACCACCAGUGGCGAAGGCUGUCGGCUAGAACGCGCCCGACGGUGAGGGAUGAAAGCUGGGGGAGCGAACC
rnacentral:rRNA from 1 species